rnacentral:rRNA from 1 species
GACAGAGGUGCCAAGCGUUAGGCGGAAUCACUGGGCUUAAAGCGUGUGUAGGUGGAUGUCUAAGUACCUUGUGAAAUCCCACGGCUCAACCGUGGAACUGCUUGGUAUACUGGAUGUCUUGAGCCACUUAGGGGCUACCGGAACAAAUGGUGGAGCGGUGAAAUGCGUAGAUAUCAUUUGGAACGCCAAUGGUGAAAACAGGUAGCUGGGAGUGUGCUGACACUGAGACACGAAAGCCAGGGGAGCGAACGGG